GCUAGUUUGAGCAUAAAGAGUCACGCUAUGACCAUUAUUUAUCACAUUUGAGAUAUUUUUUGUUUUGACUUUACUGGCCUCAGAGAUAGGUGCAAUAUGACCUAUAAUAGCAAGGCCAGUUGCAAAAAUCAAAACAAUAAUUUAUCUCCAACUUUUAUUAUAUUGCAACUCAAUCUCUGUGUGACCGUCUUCAUGUUCAGAAGUUUAUCGUUCCUAACUCCAGUUAAGUUUGUUCGUGAACAAAUUUAUUGAAUAGAAGUCAAUCAUGAGACUAUUUUCUUCCAUCGGGCUCACAGCAUUGCUGCUGCUAAUACUGCCAACUGAUGCUGACUACGUCACCUGGUCUCAAUGCAGUCGCUAUGGCCGUCGUGAACGCGUCAGAGUAUACCCAACCGACACAGAAGCUACUUGGCUAAACAUCGCCAUGUGUCGCAUCAAAACUGUAACCCUGUAUGACCUUGACGGCCUACCCAACCUAGUCUUUCUCUUCUUGAGCUAUAAUGACAUAGAAAAUAUACAAACCGAUGUGUUCCGCUCCCUUCCGAAAUUAACAAAACUAGAGUUAGGAUACAAUAAGCUUAAACAAGCGCCUGUUUUUGUACAAAAUUCCUGCUCUAACCUAGUAGAGUUAUUCCUAUGGAAUAACCAGAUUGAAAAUAUAAAUAAUG